rnacentral:rRNA from 1 species
UUUGCCUACGGGGGGCAGCAGUUAGGAAUAUUCGUCAAUGGGGGAAACCCUGACCGAGCAAUGCCGCGUGAACGAUGACGGUCCUCUGGAUUGUAAAGUUCUGUUGUUUGGGAAGAACGGCUCUAAUAGGAAAUGAUUACAGAUUGACUGUACCUUUCAAGAAAGCCACGGCUAACUACGUGCCAGCAGCCGCGGUAAUGCGUAGGUGGCGAGCGUUAUCCGGAUUUAUUGGGCGUAAAGCGUCCGCAGCCGGUUUAUUAAGUAUAGAAUAAAACUUCGGGGCUCAACCCCGU